rnacentral:rRNA from 1 species
GUCUACGGCCAUGCUACCCUGAACAAGCUCAAUCCCGUCUGAUCUCAGAAGCUAAGCAGGGUCGGGCCUGGUUAGUACUUGGAUAGGAGACCACCUAGGAAGACCAGGUGCUGUAGGCG